AUGAACUAUCAAUGAUUUGUGUAUUGGAAAGGAAAUAAUCUUUAUCCUAAAUGUGUUUUAGAAAUUGGAAAAACUUCAGACUAAUUAGAAGCUUACAAUUAACACUGAUAUUGCACCCAGACUAAUUUCAAGAUUCUGUAAAUUAGAUGAUUGAAAAACUGCAGACAAAUUAAUACAGGAAUUGACGUGCCAACAUACUUUAUGAAGUGCAUUUUCUCACUAAGUUACGUAUGUGUACGACUUGUAUGGUGUAUGACUUUCAAAUGAUCAACACGGGUGUUUUAGAAAUGAAUUCCAAAUAACGGGAACCGAAAUUAUUACGUACAUGUACAUUGUGUACUCAAUAAAUUAAUGAAAAUGAAUUUGUUUGGUCGUAAGCACAUGUAACAGAUUUGUCGAGAAGCAGUUAUUUAAAUUUGUCCUGUACCAUUAUUCUGUUUUUAUCUGUUAUAUUUUACAGAGUAUGGUAGUUUUGAACAAUCGGAAGGUAAAAUUUCAGGAGAUCUAACAGUUACAGCUAUUGCAACUUUUAUUCCUUUAAUCAACUCAAUGUUUUUAUUAAAAUAACAUUGACCAAUGAUAAACCAUUAAAAGGAACAGCUACUCUCCCUCGAAAAGUAUUCAAUACAAAAGUGAUUUCAAUAAAGGAAUAUAUAUGUAAUUAUCGUAAUUCCAUUUACAGGAACGAUGCCUCAAAAGAUCAUAGUCUGUAUAAUGUAAACAGAUAUAAAGAGUACGUAAUAAUUGUUACGAUCAAGGUGUGAAAGUUGAAUUUGCCGUUAGCAAGUAUUGAUAUCUGAUGUCGUUUUUUUUGCUGCAGCCCAUGUGACUUUGACAAUUAUAGCUGUCAAUAUUCCGAUAUUAACUUAUGUAACUAAAAUCCCAUUGUAGUUACUUUUAAUUACAGUUCACUUGGCGUUGAAUAUUUAAAAAAUGUAGAAAUGACAAUAUGAGUGCAGGACAGUGAAUGAAAAUAUUUGAAUAGAAUGGAAGUUUUAGUCGUUUUUGCCGUGGUCCUGGCCUAUUUAUGUUCAGAAAGCCAUGGACUUAUGUGUUAUAAAUGUGAAAAUGAACGAAACAACUUUCUGUGUGUAGGAGAAUAUAAUCUGAAGCAAUGUGAUUCAGGAUUCGAUACUUGUCAGACGACGGUGUCAUACUCAGAGGUGAGCGAACAGCUUUCAAUAAUCAAGACCUGUACGAAAAAUUCCUCGUGUCACCUGCAAAUAAAAGAACAUUCGGAAUCCGACCCAUGUGAUCAAACAGGAAGUAGCUGGAUAUGCACCACCUGUUGUAAUGAGGACGCAUGUAAUUUAAACAAUGCGCCUAGUAAAGCGUCGUUUUCAUCCGUUCUGUCAUAUAUGAAUAUAUUUUUGUAUUUAUACA